ACUACCUAUAGAGGCAUUGCAUGUGUGGUUGCUGGGUCACAUGUAUGUUAGUAGUUGGAUGAAAGAAGAGACACUUAGUCUAUGAUGAGUAUUCUGACCUAUGGUCAUCUGAAUGAUUAAUAGCCUAGCAUU
ensembl:snoRNA LOC120093466 small nucleolar RNA SNORA17